rnacentral:rRNA from 1 species
CCUACGGGAGGCUGCAGUGAGGAAUAUUGGUCAAUGGGCGAUAGCCUGAACCAGCCAAGUAGCGUGAAGGAUGACUGCCCUAUGGGUUGUAAACUUCUUUUAUAUGGGAAUAAAGUGCAGUAUGUAUACUGCUUUGCAUGUACCUUAUGAAUAAGGAUCGGCUAACUCCGUGCCAGCAGCCGCGGUAAUACGGAGGAUCCGAGCGUUAUCCGGAUUUAUUGGGUUUAAAGGGAGCGUAGGCGGGUGGUUAAGUCAGUUGUGAAAGUUUGCGGCUCAACCGUAAAAUUGCAGUUGAUACUGGCAGCCUUGAGUACAGCAGAGGUAGGCGGAAUUCGUGGUGUAGCGGUGAAAUGCUUAGAUAUCACGAAGAACUCCGAUUGCGAAGGCAGCCUGCUGGACUGUAACUGACGCUGAUGCUCGAAAGUGUGGGUAUCAAACAGGAUUAGAUACCCCAGUAGUC